CCUCUUCGAGAUGACGAGGUGAUUGCUUAUUUGCUUGCAGGUCUGCCGGUCGAAUAUGACCCCUUUGUCACAUCAAUGACAACUAAGGGCGACUCCCUCUCGCUUGAUGAUGUUUAUGCCUAUCUCAUGGCAUUUGAAGC
rfam:Zea mays cultivar B73 chromosome 1, whole genome shotgun sequence.